rnacentral:lncRNA from 1 species
CGAGCACCUUUUUUUUCGUCCUUUUUUCUUUUUUCUAUUCCUUGCUAGCACAGUUCCCAUGUGUGAACUGGAUGAACAAAUCGCAUCUGACAAGUGCAGAGUUUUUUUUUUCGUUUUUUUUUCUGUACUGUUGUGGCUGGGUAGGGAAGUGGGCGUGUGCAGAGCAUGGCCAACAGGGGAGUGUGAUCCUUGGCGACAGCUGUGUUGUGUUGUGCGCAAGAGAGGGAGUGAGCAGGCGAACAAGCCCACCAAUCUGGUUGGGUGAGAGGAGGUUCUAUAAAAGGGCGGAGCGCGGGAGGGUACUAACCUCUGCUCAAGAGCGCUCCAUCGCUCAGCUGGGUUCCCAGGUCUGCGAGGGCUUUGGUUGGCUGUGGUGCCGUCGUCUGGAGCGUGGGCUAGCUGCAAAGGAGUUGCACUUUUAUUGGCUCCAUCUCCAGCAGAAAGCUUGUGAAAGGUCUUUGAGCCCCAUCCCACCCCGAGAAAGAGCAUCUCUGCUCCAUUUGCACAAACAUGAUCAUCAGACUGGGCAGACUGACCCCUGGAUACUUCCGUCUCCUCCAGAGACAGGUGGCAGGAGAGGUGCAGAUGCAGCCUCAGGAUCGAGCAGUCAACCAAAUUGCCAUGAUGCUGGCCAUCCUGGGCCUCAGCCUGUCCUACUACAGCGCUCGCCAGAUGACGGAGACAGUUCAGCGCGAUCCCACACCCUGAACAUGCCCCCUGCAAUCUGGUUUGGGAUGGCCGGAGUGGAGAAAGCUGAUGAAAUGAGGAGGGGUGGAGGGGGAGAAGAAAGGGGGAUGAAGAGAAGAUGACGUCCAGCACAUUUUAAAUUCUCACUCACACUGCUGACAGUCGCAUUCAGACACUGGAUUUUUUUUUUUGCUUUUUACAUUGGGAUAACUAACUGUGUGGCGAAAGAUUUCAGAGUUCAGGGCGGCUCUUGGCGGCAGGCUUCUAGGUUUUAUUUUUUGUUUUUGUUUUGUUUUGUCUCAAGUCUGUCCUCAGGAGGAAAAGGGGGUUGGGAGUUAAUGGCCUUGGGGUCCUGUGAACUGGUGAGGAGAACAAGAAACCCUUCAAAUGCCCAUGUGCUUGUGUGGCCUGCGUUUCACUGGUUGCUGCGACGCAUGCAUGCGAGGAUCCAGCAAUGCUGCUCCUGGGUCUAAGGGGACAAUGAUGCACGUCCUGGCAGUGUUUCAAGCCCAGUUAUGAGGGCUUUAUUUAAAGGGAGUGUUGGUCUAGGUUCUCUGCAUUAAAUAUGUCAAGCAACAGUUGAAAGCAGUCCCACAAGAAAGAUGGGGUGGAAACUGUGAACCCUCUAAAUGUUUUCUGUUUUGUUGUUCAUCAAAGCCUUAGAGAGCCGUCAGAACUUGUUGAAGGAGAUGUCACUUCAUUAGACAGUUUUAACUCCUGGGAAAUUUUCCCACCUCACAGGCAACAUACAACGGCCUUGUUCAACAGUAAUGCAUUUCUAGGCACUAUAGUGGACUUUAAAAAGGGACCGUUGCAUCACUACUGGUGUCUUCUGUUUUGCUGUUCAGUGUUCUGCAUUACUAGACAAGUCAUUUAAAAUGUGUGGCUUUUUAGGGGAACUAUAUCCUUGGCAAUAUCUUUGUGUCUACCUUCAAAUAUUGCAUGAAGAGCCUCUUUGUUUUUUGUUUAAAACAAUCUUUAAAUCUUUAGUACUUUCAUUGAAGACUUCUAAAAACCAUAAUGAUAACGAUGAAUGUAUGUUAUUUUUUUAAAUGUUGAUUCAAAUAAAGCUGUGAAGUUUUUUGGACA